GCUCGUGAACCUGAGCUUUGUGUUGUCAUGGUCAGUACAGUUGUUAUGCCUAAAGCCACUCUGGCUGGAGCUGCAUCCAUAUUGAUCCAAAAUGACACCCAGGAGAGAAUCACGAUCAAGAGACUUGGCAUCCCAGCAGAGUGUCUCCAGGACAGGCUGCCUACAGAUUAUGGUUGCAAAGAACACAGUAGUUUUGGACUGUGCCCUAAAUUCCAAGCAAGAAAACACAGGGAGGACUUUUCAGAUCUAAUUAAUCUGGCUUCAGCUUUGGAGAAAUUACAUGUCCCUGAAGAUGCUUUUGCUGUAACACCAGAAGGUAUUUUUUGCUAAAUGAAAAGUUGUGUUUAUGUGAGAUUAUUCAUUUGUCCAGAUGACCUUUUAGUGCUACAUGUUUCAUGUUGUUGUUAAUAUAUUUUCUAUGUUUGCACUUAGAAUAUCAGUGGUUUCUGUGACUGACUGAAUAACAGUAGAAAUCUUAAAUGAAAAUGUGUAUUUGAAAUCAAUCUAUGUUUAAUCUCCUCAGGGAAAUAUAAGGGAUCAAAGAGGAAUUCCAUACUAACUUUCUUCUCAGUCUUCCAUCUGUUGGGAGGUAUACAUGACAUUGUCUAGAGUAGGGUAAAUAGGGUAAAAUAAAAAGAACCAACACUGAAAUAGCUUACAUCCCAAAUUGCAACAAACCAUCUACCAUCAAAAUACACCACUACAUCAACAAUCUAAUGUUAAUGUCUGACUCAACAGAGGCAUUAGAGAAGGCAGUAACUUCACUAACUAUUUACAGGAGAAACUGUGAGGUAUAAACCCAUGGAAAGUACAAGGACCAGAGCUGUCAGUUAAAUUACUAGGUGUUGUCUGGUCCAGUAAUGCCAGGGUCUUACCCAGCUGUGAUCUUAGCUAAGGUUCAAAUGUUCCAAGUUCCCAUGACAGCGGAGCAGUUGCAGGAGUUUUUGGGUAAAUUAAGAUACUGGCAAUCCUUUAUACCCUACUUAGUACAACCUCUAAAACCUCUGUAAUGACUAACAAAAAGAGGCCAAGUAUGUGAUUGGAGUAGAACAAAACAAGAAACCUUCCAGCAGAAAAAAAUAGCCAUUAAACAGGCCCAGGAGCUGGGUAUAUUUGAUGAAACCCUUCCAGCUGAUCUAGAUGUGAAUGCAAUUCAAGAAGGGUUUGGCUGGGUGUUGCUGAAACAGCAGGAGCUUACCCCCAACCUGCUCAAUCAUUGGUUCAGGCUGUGAAGGGUUGGAGUGCAAUGGAGUUAGGCCAUGGAGUAGGUCACAGCCUGAACCAAUGGUUGAACACUAGGUGAGAAGACAUGGCUAACCCAGGGAGCUCAGGUGCAAGCAAUGCACCUAAGCGACCAGAAGGGCUGGAUCCAGGAUCCACCUCUCCUCACCUUCAUUUAAGCGUUAGCAGCUGAGGGAGGAGCUUCUCUUUGGAUAGAGAUUGCACUCCUGUCAAGCUAUCCCUGGUUGUUGGAAGAGUGUGAUAGUGCUGCUGAAGUAAUGGGCUUUUCAUUGCUGUGAAAGAAAGCAGUCAGAGAAAGAAGAAUCAAAUGAAGCAAGCAUAGGUCAAGGAAGUCGAAGCAGCAGAUACUGUAUUAUCAAUCCAGCAGUAGAUGGAGAGAUGGACUUUGUGAAUGCUGAGUUUGAAUGAGUGGCUACAGCCACUCAGCCUUCAGCACUAGCUAGAGGUAGUGGAGUAUUUUCCAGUGAGAAGUGGAAGUGACAGCUAGGACUGUAAACUACUAGUUUGUUUUUUUUUUUAAUGAAGAAUCUUGGGGAUUUAUUCAAUGUUUAACAUUCUAUUGUUGCUGUUGCUCAUUAAUGAAAAUGUUUGUUCAGUUAUUAUCUAUUGGCAAAGAGUGCUGAAGUGCUUUAGUGUUCUGUCAAACUGAAUGAGGAAAAACCUGCUGCAGAUUAGGAAAGCAGAAUUGUCAGUGUUUGCUUAAGUCUGUAUACAGUUAUCUUCAAAUAAUUAUAUUUGCAGCUAUGUAACUGCAUCUUCAGGCACCAGAAUAAAAUAGGGUCAGCAAACAGCAAUCUGCCCUGCAAUGAGAACACGUUGUCAGUCUCCACCUGAAGCUUCUGUAAAAGAGAUAAGAGUGCCUAUCUUACAUUUGUCACAGCCUGCAGAAACACUGUUCUUGCUCGUUGGGAAGCAGGAGAGAUUAUCUCUUCUGUUAGCAUUAAGUAAUAUAAUUCUGUGUAGAAUCUUUGACUGCACCAUGCAGGUCUGAAGUUGGUUAUAAGUCUCACUUACGGAUUGCUAUUAAGAUUCAGAUGAUCUGUUUAUAUUGGUUGGGAAAGCUAAAUGAAGCCAGCAGUAUUUAUUACUUAUGAGUCGUAUUCUCUGUAUUGCGUAAGAUCCCAUCAAAUUUCAGCUCCAAGUUCCACAACUGUUACAGAUCUUGGCUGUGACUCAGGCAUCAAGUCUUGAUGAGAUAAAUAUGAAACCUAAUCCAAUUCAUCUUCUUCCAGAAAAAUCUUGAAAUGAAAUGUGGGUCACAACCACAAAAAUGAAUCCAGCUUACAAAUCAGAACAACUGAAAUGGCAAUCUUAGCCUUUCAUUGUGGAAAUCUCCUGAUACAUUAUGCUUCUAAAUUCUCUUUUUAAGGCAUCUGUUUCAGCAAAAAGAACUACACCUAUUUUCUCUUUGUGCCCAUUAUAGUGCUGCUGUCAAUGCAAAUACUUGUUUGAAAUUGUUAUUUUUGCACAUAUGAAUUGUUCAU